rnacentral:rRNA from 1 species
GCACCACAACAGGUGGAGCCUGCGGUUAAUCGGACUCAACGCCGGGAAACUCACCAGAUAAGACAGCUGAAUGAUAGUCGGGCUGAAGACUCUACUUGACUAGCUGAGAGGAGGUGCAUGGCCGUCGUCAGUUCGUACUGUGAAGCAUCCUGUUAAGUCAGGCAACGAGCGAGACCCACGCCAACAGUUGCCAGCUCGUCCUCCGGGAUGGUGGGGACACUGUUGGGACCGCCUCUGCUAAAGAGAGGAAGGAAUGGGCAACGGUAGGUCAGCAUGCCCCGAAUUAUCUGGGCUACACGCGGGCUACAAUGGGUGGGACAAUGGGUAUCGACACCGAAAGGUGAAGGCAAUCUCCUAAACCCAUCCGUAGUUCGGAUUGUGGGCUGCAACUCGCCCACAUGAAGCUGGAAUCUGUAGUAAUCGUGUCUCAAAAUGGCACGGUGAAUAUGUCCCUGCUCCUU